rnacentral:lncRNA from 13 species
AUGGACAUCACCACCACCACUCAAGCUAAGAGAGGCUCCCCAAGACAACUCAGAAUAAGGGAAGUUGAGAGACUGACAUCUGCUUCCGCUCCAACUGCUGAGCUAUAGAAACGUAUAAACCUACCCAAUUCUGUCUCUGGAGUACAGUUUGAAGGAGUUUUUGGUAAAGCUUGACAUGUCCUCAGCGUUUUAGAUUGUAGAUGAGGAUAGAGACUGAUGACUGCUCCUACCUGAACAAACCUGUAGAGAGGAGACUGGUGUGGCAGCCCGACAUGGCAGGGAACUCACACAGUUCAAAGAGUGGAAUGUUAUCAAGGCAUUGCCUGAUGGGUCUGUCACCACACUCACUGGAGGGAAUUAAUCUAGGAAGAGGCAGGUUCCAGGGACUAUCAGCAACAUACCAAACCACAGCGAGAUAUCAAGCAUGACUCAGCUCCUGCCCACUGCAAUUACUCAGGACCUCUGCCCUUCAGAUGUGGGAAAAAGCCCAGCAGUGUCUUGCAGUAACUGCUGCUCAGGUCAGGAACAUGACCUAGGAAGUCCUUUGCUAAGGGGAGGCUCAAACUGGAUUUCAGAAGGCCCACCCGACCAGGAUGACUGAAACAAACUGUGGACUGGGUACCAAUCCAAAGGAUAAUAUUGUAGCAUCAGGAAUAAAAUAAAUUUCAACUCAAUAAGAAGCCUAACU